AUGAGAAUGGUGUUUUAAAAUUGGUAAUCGGGUGUGUAUUCCGGAUGUUACCGAGCUUAAGAAGAGUAUUCUUGAGGAAGGACAUCGUAGUGGCUUGAGUAUCCAUCCUGGAGCUACGAAGAGUGUAUCAUGAUUAAGAAGUUAUUUGGUGGCCGGGAAUGAAAAGAGAAAUUGCAAGUUUUGUGUAUUCCUGUUUGACUUGUCAGAAGUCGAAGAUUGAGCAUCAGAAGCCGUC
rnacentral:lncRNA from 1 species